AGCGAACGCUGGCGGCAGGCUUAACACAUGCAAGUCGAGCGGGCGUAGCAAUACGUCAGCGGCAGACGGGUGAGUAACGCGUGGGAACGUACCUUUUGGUUCGGAACAACACAGGGAAACUUGUGCUAAUACCGGAUAAGCCCUUACGGGGAAAGAUUUAUCGCCGAAAGAUCGGCCCGCGUCUGAUUAGCUAGUUGGUGAGGUAAUGGCUCACCAAGGCGACGAUCAGUAGCUGGUCUGAGAGGAUGAUCAGCCACAUUGGAACUGAGACACGGCCCAAACUCCUACGGGAGGCAGCAGUGGGGAAUAUUGGACAAUGGGGGCAACCCUGAUACAGCCAUGCCGCGUGGGUGAUGAAGGCCCUAGGGUUGUAAAGCUCUUUUGUGCGGGAAGAUAAUGACGGUACCGCAAGAAUAAGCCCCGGCUAACUUCGUGCCAGCCGCCGCCGUAACAC
rnacentral:rRNA from 1 species